rnacentral:tRNA from 2 species
UCCCUGAUAGUUCAGUUGGUAGAGUACUCGACGGUUAAUUGAAUUGUCACAGGUCCGAGCCCUGGCCCUGUUCGGGAGCCA